ACGGGAGGCAGCAGUGGGGGAUAUUGCACAAUGGGGGAAACCCUGAUGCAGCGACGCCGCGUGAGUGAAGAAGUAUUUCGGUAUGUAAAGCUCUAUCAGCAGGGAAGAAAAUGACGGUACCUGACUAAGAAGCCCCGGCUAACUACGUGCCAGCAGCCGCGGUAAUACGUAGGGGGCAAGCGUUAUCCGGAUUUACUGGGUGUAAAGGGAGCGUAGACGGCGAUGCAAGUCUGAAGUGAAAGGCGGGGGCUCAACCCUUGGACUGCUUUGGAAACUGUAUUGCUAGAGUGCAGGAGAGGUAAGUGGAAUUCCUAGUGUAGCGGUGAAAUGCGUAGAUAUUAGGAGGAACACCAGCGGCGAAGGCGGCUUACUGGACGAUAACUGACGUUGAGGCUCGAAAGCGUGGGGAGCAAACAGGAUUAGAUACCCUGGUA
rnacentral:rRNA from 1 species